rnacentral:lncRNA from 1 species
GUUUCUUCAUUGUAUUAUGAUGUAUGAGAAUUCCUUGGGUCCACCUCAUCCUGCUCUUUGAGAGAGAAUUAAAUUUGUACUUUGAACAAAAAAAUAAAUACAUAAAAAUAAAUUUUUUGAGUUUUGUUUUAUGAUCCAGGAUAUAUGGACUAGCUUCAUCAGUGCUCCAGAUACAUUGAAAAGAAUGUGUAUUCUGCUGUUGGGUGGGCUGUUCUAUAAUUGUCAAUUAGGUCAAGUUGGUUGAGAGCGUUGCUCAAGUGUUCCACACCUUUACUGAUUUUCUGUGUACUUGUCAGUUACUGAGAGAGGGGAAUUGAAAUCUCUGACUCGAAUGUUUGAAGAAUGAGAUAAAAAGGCUGUGUCGGAGCUCAGGAAUGGCUUCUGCCUAAAAGACAAAUACAGUGAUUGCUCUUUACGGACAACCUACAAUCAGUAUGAGCAUCUAAGGAUACAAUAAUUUAAAUUCACUGAGCACAGGCCCUGACAUAUGGUAGCAAUGCAAUAAAUGUUUGUUACGUGAGUGAAUGGAUGAAAAAGCAAAAGAAUAAAGACUUUGCUCUUCACAUGGGUGACCUGGGACUUCCUCAUGACUCUUUAUCAGAGGAUUUAAGACAAAGGGAAGCCUUUGGAAGCAGGGCCUGUGCACCCCCUUGUGUCACCUGGAUGGAAUGUGCUGCCAGCGUUACUUCUCUGCCAAAGAACAGACCUUCCCAAGGCUGAGGAGGAGGCAGCCCUUGCAUGGGACACCGUGACGGAAAUCAAAGCACAAGACAGUGUCGUUUGUCUUUAUCUGCUUAGGGAUUUUUCCUUACCUGUGAAGUGAUCUGGGCUUUCGAGUACAUUGUUAGAUAUGAUUCUCUUUUUAUAGUAGCCCAGCUUUGGUACAAUGCCAUUUUGUGUAAUUAAAAAUAUGUUUAACAGUAGCAUAUUCA